UUGAAAAAGGAAAAAACAAGAGAGAGAAAGUAAAGAGAGAAAGACCGAAUGAAAUGGGGGAGGCAUCAGAAUCAUAUUACUCAUGACAAUGAACACACCAAGUGCUCAUCUCUCUCCUCCACUUCCCCACUUUCUUCAAUACCCAACAGACCAUCCAUAUCUCUCUAACUCUUUCUCUCUCUAGGGUUUUCACUCUCGCGUGUUACUACCACCAUUGCCUCCACCGCACUUCUCCUGCGGGAAGCCUGCAUUUCUCUAUGUGGUAAUCAAUCAUGCAUGGGAAUGGAGAAUUUUUUAUGAGACUCUUGUUUGCAGAAUUUUGUUCGCUUUUGUAAUUGGGAGAUAGAAUGCACAUAUAAAGACCGAUUAACUGGUUUGACAUUAGUUAAGCGAUACAAAUGGAGUUUGUAAGGUCAUGGUUUAAAAGAUUCAAGUCCAAGGAGCAAGUGAAGUCGUCAAAGAACAAGGAUACUACAGGACAUGGGAAAGAGGGUUCAAAAACCCCAACAACUGAAGAAGUGCCUUCAAAUGUAACCAAGCAGAGGGUUGCAGCUGCAAAGCAGUAUAUAGAGGAUCAUUACAAGAAGCAGAUGAAAAGUUUGCAGGAGAGGAAGGAGCGACGUAAUAUACUAGAAAAGAAGUUGGCUGAUGCUGAUGUCUCUGAGGAAGAGCAAAGCAACUUGCUAAAGUACUUGGAGAAGAAAGAAACAGAAUAUAUGCGUAUUCAGAGGCAUAAAAUGGGCGCUGAUGAUUUCGAGCCACUGACAAUGAUAGGAAAGGGUGCAUUUGGAGAGGUUAGAAUCUGUAGGGAGAAAGCAACUGGCCACGUAUAUGCAAUGAAGAAGCUUAAGAAAUCAGAGAUGCUUCGGAGAGGCCAGGUUGAACAUGUGAAAGCUGAGAGGAAUCUACUUGCGGAGGUUGAGAGUAAUUGUAUUGUCAAGCUCUAUUGUUCGUUCCAGGAUGAAGAGUACUUGUAUCUAAUUAUGGAAUAUCUUCCUGGUGGGGAUAUGAUGACUUUAUUGAUGCGCAAGGAUACACUGACAGAAGAUGAGGCUAGAUUUUAUAUUGGGGAAACCAUCCUAGCUAUUGAGUCCAUUCAUAAGCAUAAUUACAUUCAUAGAGAUAUUAAGCCUGACAAUUUGCUGCUGGAUAGAAAUGGUCACAUGAAAUUAUCAGAUUUUGGAUUAUGUAAACCAUUAGACUGCAGCAUACUUCAAGAAAAGGAUUUUUCUGUGGGAAAAAAUCUUAGCGGGGCUCUUCAAAGUGAUGGACGCCCUGCACCACCAAAGCGUACACAACAGGAGCAACUGCAGCAUUGGCAGAGAAACCGGAGGAUGCUUGCAUAUUCUACUGUUGGAACCCCAGACUACAUUGCCCCAGAAGUUUUGCUGAAGAAAGGAUAUGGAAUGGAAUGUGAUUGGUGGUCUCUUGGGGCUAUCAUGUAUGAAAUGCUUGUGGGAUAUCCACCCUUUUAUUCAGAUGAACCCAUGUCAACUUGUAGAAAGAUAGUUAACUGGAGAACGCAUCUGAAAUUUCCUGAAGAAGCUAAACUGUCUCUGGAGGCGAAAAAUCUCAUUAGUAAACUGUUAUGUAAUGUUGAUCAGAGGCUUGGAACUAAAGGGGCAGAUGAAAUAAAGGCUCACUCUUGGUUUAAAGGCGUUGAAUGGGACAAAUUGUACCAAAUGAAGGCUGCAUUUAUUCCCGAGGUCAAUGAUGAGUUGGAUACCCAAAAUUUUGAGAAGUUUGAGGAGGGAGACAACCAGAUUGAAAGUUCAACGAGAGCUGGUCCAUGGAGAAAGAUGCUGUCUUCUAAAGAUGUCAACUUUGUGGGUUACACAUACAAGAACUUUGAAAUUGUAAACGAUAACCAAUUGCCUGGGAUUGCUGAAUUGAAGAAGAGCACAAAACCUAAGCGGCCUUCCGUCAAGUCUCUUUUUGUGGUUAGUAGCCAGUGAGCAUUGUCGUGUCUGGUGCUUCAAGUUAAUCUGACAGGAAGUUUGAAAUAAACCAGAGUCAAAUUCACAUGCGAGUUUAUUCACAUUCUCGGUUUCAAGUCCAUUAUCCAAAAUACUGCCAAGACAAUGAGUCUGCGACGGCGGCCAAUCAACCUGUUCAAGGAAGCUUUAUGAAACUCCUCCCUCCCCAACUAGAAGUCCCCGAGAAACAAACAGAGUGACUCGCGGUGAAGUAUGCUAGUUUCUCGCAUAACUUUCAGUGGCUGUAGAGAUCCAACCAAAUAGUGUUUUUUGGUGAUUAAUUUAUCCGUAGAUCUGUUGAUCGGGGGCAAAGGCCUCAGAAACAAAUCGUUUUUUUUACAUAUGUUCUGCAAAGUAUAUAUUCUUUGAAAUGGUUGUGUAUUCUUUACUCUUACUCCCUUUUGUUAAGAUUCAAAAAUCGUGUACAAUUUGUGACAUAUUUGUUCAUGGGUAGUGAUUAUCAUACCAAUGUGAUAUAAAGAAUGAGUAAUUUGGAAGCGCCA